AGAAAUUGGUUUCCUUUGUGCAUACGUCUGCACUUUCACAUAUACCCACGUGUGGUCAGCUGAAAAAUGACUCCUCGAAAGAUAUUCAUAUCAAACUCCUGGCAGCUAUGAAUGUGACUUUAUUUGGAAAAAGGGUCUUUGCAGGUGUAAUUAAAUGAAGGAUGUUGAGAUAAGGUGAUUAUUUGGGAUUGCUCAGGUUGGCCCUAAUUCGAAUGAUGAAUGUCUUUAUGAGAGAACGGCAGAGGGAGAUUUGAGACAGAUAGGAGUGAAAACACAGAGAGGAGGAGGAGGCAACGUGACCAUGGAAUAAGACAUUGGAGUGAAGUAGCCACAAGCCAAGGAAUGCCUAAAGCCACCAAAAGCUGGAAGACGCAGGAAAGGAGCCUCCUGGAGAGAUUUCUGAGGGAGCACAGCCCCACCGAUGCCAUGAUUUCAGCCUUCUGGUUCCCAGAAUUGUGAAAGAGUAAAUUUCUGUUGUUUCAAGUGGCCAAGUUGGUGGUAAUUUGCUACUGAAACCCCAGGAAGCUUUGUGCCUGGAUACUAGCAGGAAGGAAGAGGAGGAGCAAGAAUGGAAGGCUUGUACCAACAAGUUCUUAUCCUUUUUAAUGAGGAAAACAAGAGCAUCCCUAUUCUGCUCUUAUCUCACCGAGUUCCAUGGCCAUUCUGAGCUGCAGUGGAGUCUUGGGAGGACAUUUGGCUGGAUUCAAAGAACUUUGAAGCCCAAGGGGAUGGAGGAACCACGGGAUGGAAGGUGCCUGAAUCCUGAAUGACUGUGUGGACAGUUUAUAAACAUUUGGGCAGUGCCAUCUCUAUCACAUAAAUUUAUUUUGUCUUCUUUUAUUUCUUCUUACCUUCCCAUGAUUUUCCUGGGUGAAUGGCUAAUUAGAAGAGUAAGAUGAGGUAGAGGGUGGAAUAGAGAGAUUGUAAAUUCUGCUUUGGGGAUAUUAAUCUGAGUUGUGUGUGAGAUGUUCAAGUGAAGAUGUCAAGCAAAAAUUUAGAUAUUUGCACCCCAGUGUGGUGGCUCACACCUGUAAUACCAGUACUUUGAGAGGCU
rnacentral:lncRNA from 1 species